GUAAUUCAUAUCUUUGCUGUUCUAUAGGUAAAAAUUUUUCCCCUUUUGGCUUCUUUAUCUUUGAUUUCCUACAAUUUGAACAUGAUAUGCCAAGGUAUAGGUUUUAUUUUGGGCCAGGGUUGGCAUUUAUUCUGCUUGGGGUUCUCUGAGCUUCCUGGAUCUGAGGUUUGGUAUCUGACAUUAAUUUGGGGUAAAUUCUCAGUCUUUAUUGCUUCAAAUAUUUCUUCUGUUCCUUUCUCUCUUCUCUUUCUGAUAUUCUCAUUUAUACACAUUACACCUUUUGUAGUUGUCCCACAGUUCUUGGAUAUUUUGUUCUUUUUUUUUUUUUAAUAGUCUUUUUUCUCUUUGCAAGUUUCUAUUGACAUAUCCUCAAUCUCAGAGUUUUACCUCCAGAAGCUCUACCAGGUUCUUACAGAGAUGUUCAGAGAAAAAUCCCUUCAUGUUUCUGGGGAAAAGUAACCAUUUUGAAAUAUUCCAAAGCUUUCUGUUCUUCUGAACAAGUCCUGCCUUCAAGGGAAACUAUUUUACCAAUUCCUCAGCCAUGUCCAGUGUACUAAUGAGCCCAUCAAAGGCAUUAUUCAUUUUUAUUACAGUGUUUUUGAACUCUAGCUUUAUAAAAACUCUUUCUUAGAAUCUCCAUCUCUCAAAAACAAAACAAAAAACAAAAUAAUCUCCAGCUCUCUGUUUACGCUAACCAUUCGUUCUUGCAUGUUGCCUACUUUUCCAUUAGAGCUCUUCUUAGUGUAUUAAUCAUCUUUGUUUUAAAUUCCCAGUCUGAUAAUUCCAACAUCCCUGCCAUAUCUGAGUCAGAUGCCUGCUCUAUUUUUUAAAACUACAAAUUUUGCCUUUUGGCGUGUCUUGUAAUCUUUUACUGAAAGCUAGACACAAUGUACUGGGUAAAAGAACUCUGAUAAAUAGUCCUUAGUGGCAUGGUUGUAAGAUGCGGGGCUUUGGGGGUAGGGUAAGCCUUUUAUAGCAUUAGAUAUAAUUAGGUGUCAGUUUUUUAAUGAGCCUGUGCCCAUGGGCUGUGAACUUCACAGAGCUUCCCAGUCUCUGCCCUUCACCCCAUCUAUGUGGGACAGGAGGACUGCAGUGGCUACAGUGAGCUGGCAUUGGGUAUUUCCCUUCCCCCAGAUUGUUUAGUCUCUGAUAAAGCUCCAUUAGGUUAGGCUCUGGUAAAAUAGUUUCCCUUGAAGGCAGGACUUAUUCAGAAGAACAGAAAGCUUUGGAAUAUUUCAAAAUGGUUACUUUCCCCCAGAAACAUGAAGGGAUUUUUCUCUGAACAUCUCUGUAAGAACCUGGUACAGCUUCUGGAGGUAAAAUUCAUGAAAACUUGAGGAUCCCCCUUCUGACUGGGACCCACUGGAGUUUUCCUUUUUCAACCUUGUCCACGCUGAGCCUUUAGCAAUUCAUCAGCUACAGUUUAGGUCUCCCUACCCUGGCUCUGGUUCCCACAGAGGUUCCUGCUCGUGGGUUUCUUCUUUGGGUGUCAUCGCAGGAGUCCUUGUAAGAGGAAGGCAGAGGAGCUUUGACCAAGAAGGGAAGGUGAUGUGAUGACGGAAGCAGCGACUGGAGUGCUGUGCUUGGAGGAAGAGGGCACUGGCCAAGCAAGGCAGGAGGCCUCUAGAAGCUGGAAAAAGCCAAGGAAACGGAUUGUCCCCUCAGAGCCUCCGGAAGGAACCAGCCCUGCCUACACCUUGACUUUGGCCCGCCCACUGAAACUGAGUUCAGACUUCGGACCUCCAGAUCUCUCCGUGGAGGUCAGCUGAGUGUGUCCUCUGUGUCCGUCUGUGGCCGGGCAGCAGGAUUUAUGAAUGGAAUUCCAGUCUGGUGGGGAAGGGGUGUCAGACAAAGUUCCUCUACGUCAGCAUUUGAACUUUUAAAUCAAAGAGUUACAACUUUUAAGGAAGAGUCUAAAGCCCAUGUUAAAUCUCUCC